UACGUAGGGGGCUAGCGUUGUCCGGAAUCAUUGGGCGUAAAGCGCGUGUAGGCGGUCCGGUAAGUCCGCUGUGAAAGUCGGGGGCUCAACCCUCGAAUGCCGGUGGAUACUGUCGGGCUAGAGUACGGAAGAGGCGAGUGGAAUUCCUGGUGUAGCGGUGAAAUGCGCGGAUAUCAGGAGGAACACCAAUUGCGAAGGCGGCACUCUGGGCCGGAACUGACGCUGAGGAGCGAAAGCGUGGGGAGCGAACAGG
rnacentral:rRNA from 1 species